UCCUACGGGAGGCAGCAGUGAGGAAUUUUCCGCAAUGGGCGCAAGCCUGACGGAGCAAUACCGCGUGGAGGAGGAAGGCCCGUGGGUCGUAAACUCCUUUUCUCAGAGAAGAACGCAAUGACGGUAUCUGAGGAAUAAGCAUCGGCUAACUCCGUGCCAGCAGCCGCGGUAAU
rnacentral:rRNA from 1 species